UCAUUCUUCUCUCUCCAUCUCCAGCCGUCGCCCCUCGUCUCUCUAGCAGGCGUCUCCUUUCUCCAACUGCCCCUCUCUUCACCCUAUUCUCUUUCUCUGACCGAUGACAACCUUUUCUCCCUCUAUCCACCUCCCUCUUCCCCUCUCUUCUCCCUCGCGCAUCUCCUCAUCUUCUCUUUUUCCCCGAGCAGCAACAACAACCGUGGGACAACAACAACAACUCAGCAGGAAAUCAACAACAAACAACCGUCAGACCAAAGUAGCCCACUCAUCCCCACCCUUUUUCUGACGAAGCAGCAGCGACUUAACUUGUAGCAGCUCCGGUCAGGCAAACUCCAACUAGUCAGCAACUUCGUCAAAAAAAUGACGGAUACAUCGAAAGAGAAUAAUUUGGAUAAGUAAAGAUCUGUCCAAGGUUUGAACUUAAGGUUCAAGAUUUAGAAGAGUCACCAAGUUACAAGAGUCACCAA